UACAGAGGGUGCGAGCGUUAAUCGGAAUUACUGGGCGUAAAGCGUGCGUAGACGGUUAUUUAAGUCGGGUGUGAAAGCCCCGGGCUCAACCUGGGAAUUGCAUUCGAGACUGAAUAGCUAGGGUACGGUAGAGGGAAGUGGAAUUUCCGGUGUAGCGGUGAAAUGCGUAGAUAUCGGAAGGAACAUCGAGUGGCAGAAGCGAAGCUUCCAUGG
rnacentral:rRNA from 1 species